CUCUGAAGAAUUAAAGAUUCAAACUUCUACAAGCUCUCAAGACGUCCAAGUCUGCAUCAACAUCGAGAUCAACAUCUUCUGAAAGACUGAAAACUUGGAGAUUAAACUUUUUUUGGAUUUCAGAAGAUCGAAGUUUAGAUCGACUUACAAAUACAACAUCCUGAAGACCGAAGACUAAGAAGUUCUAAAGUUUUUAUCUUGUAUUCGAGAGAAAGCCAAAGGAGUAAAUACUAGAGACUGUAUUCACAAUAUUCAUCAAUAUACAAAGUUCAAUUCCACGAA
rnacentral:lncRNA from 1 species